GCGUUGGUGGUAUAGUGGUGAGGAUACCUGCCUUCCAAGCAGUUGAGCUGGGUUCGAUGCCAGGCUAUCGCG
rnacentral:tRNA from 1 species